UGUACUGAGGAGGCUAGGGCAAGGGACGCUGGUGGCCAGUGCUCUCUGGACUAAGAGAAAGCAUCCCGUUGUCCUUAUGACAACACAAUGGAUGAUUAAGCCUUCAUGUGCCUUUCAGAAAGUCAAGGGUGUAAGGAACCAUUCUGGUCACUCUUGUUUUGAUUCUGUGGUGGACCUUGUGGACUGAGUCAUUAAACAAGGGUGCCGAUCCCCUCCUUCCAUGCCCUGUGGUAGUUGGUCUCUGGAAAAAACCGAAAUCUACAUUUCCCAGACACCCUUGCAGCUAGGUUUCUGUGGGUGGUCUCAGCUGCUCUAGAUAGAUGCCUGCCCAAGGUAUAGAAGGUGGAAGUGAGCAACACAGAGUGGUGGACAGAUGAGGCGCCCCAGCUGGCAGGGAACAGAAAGGUCUGGUUCCCCCACAGCAGCUGGCUCCAGUGUUUGGGCCUGAGCAUCACAGACAGUGGUGUUUCCGUGGCAAUAGUCUCAGGCAGGGUUAGCUGAUUGUCCAGGCUAUGCUGUCCCUGGCCAUGACGCAUCAAAGUUUAUUCCCCUGGUAGUUCUGGAAUCUCAAUCCGAACACCCAGGAAUAAAUUCCACUCUGCUCAAACCAGAAAGAGUGGAUUCUGGUGUUUGCGACUAAUCACUGCGACUGGAUACAAAUUCAGAUUCUGAAAUCACCUCUAUUGUGUUUUCUCGUGUGGAAGAAAUACAGAAAAGCUUAAGAAAAACAAGUAUAAAUCAUCUGCAAUCCCACCACCUGGAGCUUGUGGUGGUGUCUGCACAUAUAAAGAAGUAGCCACCUCUUCCAGUAUUUAUGGACAGGAUUUGGGAAGAAAAGACCUUCAUCAGACAGCCUGCCUAAAGAUUCAGGAGAUCUCUCAAACCUUUUCUAUGGACCACUCCACUUCCACUACAUUCUGGGGAGCUGCUCUCCGAUGAUCCAAGCCAUACCAAUUUCCUCAGUGCUCUAAUGUGCCAAGUUUGACUGAUGCUGGAUUUUGUGGUCCACUGGGGUGCUGAUACCUUCAACUGAACUCCAGAGCUCUCAAAAAGUAACGGAUCCAAGGCUGGACAUGUGACCUGGGCCCAGCAAACCCAUGCCAGGACUUGCCACAGAACUUUUGUGAACGAGAACCUCUCUUCCCUUGGGGAGCUGUUGGGGCUACCACCCGCAACAAACUGACUAGACAGUGAGGCCAACAUGGAAAGCAGAGGGCGAAGGUAACUCCUGAUGACACAACGUGAGUCGCUGGGUAAAACCGGACCCGAUGCUGUUUUGACUUGGAUGGGAGUGGACUACAGGGAGCUGGGACCAAAGCCAGCAAAGCAACACACGAGCUUGAGCACUGAUGUUCGUGCAUGUCAGUGUGUUCAGCAUAAACUAUGGAGGGAAGAGGACUCCAGAAAGAGAACCCCCAAGAGUGUGCAUGCACACAUCACGCUCACAGUUCAGGCCACAACAGUGCGGGUCAUGGCAGGGGGCUGGGAGGACCUACAGUCAACAGAGGAAGGUCUGCUCUAGCUGAAUAGGAGGCUUUACCACAUUGUUGGCAUCUCUGUAUGAUACGCAAUUAGCUUUGAAACAAGGAUAAAAAUAAGGCAUCAGUCAGCUAUAAAGUAGCUUAAUGGGUGCAUGAAUCGAAACAACAUUUAAAUAUGGUACAGCAGCCUAUUUGGAGCCUUUAAAAAGCCUCGUGCUGUUGAUCUCUCCCCAAGGAGGAAAUCCUUGGUGUUGCUGCCCUCUCUUUCUUAUGCAUGAACAGGGCCUUCAAAUGCAUCAUCUCCUGGGAUCCACGGAGGGACAGGUGGCUGGGUCAAGGUCACACAGGCUACUGAGGCACAGCAGACCUGCGGACAAAGGUCUUCCUACUACAACCCCGGGUUUGACGCAUCACCAGAGGCAGGUUUCCUCAGGAGCCACGGAGGCUGAAGCCGAAGGGCCCUCACUUGUGUGACCCUUUCUUUGAUCUGACACGUAAUUCUGGGUUCUUUUUCUUAAAAAGUGCCACCCAAAAAUAUAUAAGUUCUACGCUCUAGGCCCACAAGGCAUGGAUCAGCCCCAAUCCCCAGCCACACCCGAGGCUGUUUUCUCACUCCUUUCUCCCCAUCUUUCAAGAACCCCAAACCCACAGGGCGUUGUCACAGACUUGAAAUAGCUACUCAAAGCCUCUGCAGCCAGAACGUCUCUGCUCGUCCUUAUCUGCAGUUUCCUCCCCAUUACUGAUGAUUUAGACACUUGUUAUGUAAAUGACAUCUACAGAGACCCAUUCUGUGAAAUGCUUACAGGACUCUUUUAACGUCUUCAUCAUUUUAAAAAUAAAACCAAAUCCUCCUGCU